AAAUUCUCAACCUUUUCAGCUUUUUCUGUUGAUCAGGCUUGGAUUGUGGGAGUAUGCGGGCUUCUCAGAAGUCGGCUCUCCUGAAAUGCAUUAGCGGGACCUUUGUUGCCUUGCUUUGGUGUGAUAAUUAUCUACGCCAUUCGUGAAGAGCAGCUUUAUAAACGGGGUUCAGCUUCUAAAGGUCUCUUUGGAGACAACUUCUGACA
rnacentral:misc_RNA from 1 species